CAGCAGCAGCAGCAGCUCCCUCCUCCACCCUCAGUCUCUGUGAUGGUAAAACAGGCAGGAUGGAGAUCAAUAAUUCAUCCACUCACUGCACACUUCAAUAGGCUACUCUGUCACAAAGGUCUACUCUGUGAUGAUUAUUAUUUCAUUAAAGGACACCUUGCCGAUGGGAGUUUGGACCGGAGGCACGAGGGAAGGUCCAGGGAUGGUGAAGGCACUUUCUUUAAGCGAUACGCCUUUUUCUGGCAGUUCCACAUCAAACAAAUGGGACUUCC